GACGAACGCUGGCGGCAUGCCUAAUACAUGCAAGUCGAGCGAACAGAUGAAGUGCUUGCACUUCUGACGUUAGCGGCGAACGGGUGAGUAACACGUAAGGAAUCUACCUAUAAGCGGGGGAUAACAUUCGGAAACGGGUGCUAAUACCGCAUAAUAUCUUCUUCCGCAUGGAAGAAGAUUGAAAGACGGCUCUGCUGUCACUUAUAGAUGACCUUGCGGUGCAUUAGUUAGUUGGUGGGGUAACGGCCUACCAAGACGAUGAUGCAUAGCCGCACUGAGAGGGUGAUCGGCCACAGUGGGAAUGGGACACGGCCCAAACUCCGCCGGGAGGCAGCAGUAGGGAAUCUUCCGCAAUGGCCGAAAGCCUGACGGAGCAAGGCCGCGUGGGUGAAGAAGGCCUUCGGGUCGUAAAACUCUGUUAUAAGAGAAGAACAAAUUGUAGAGUAACUGCUACAGUCUUGACGGUAUCUUAUCAGAAAGCCACGGCUAACUACGUGCCAGCCGCCGCAGUAA
rnacentral:rRNA from 1 species